rnacentral:rRNA from 1 species
UGCAGUCGAGCGGAUGAUGGUGCUUGUUGAUCUCUUAGCGGGGGACGGGUGAAUAGUGCUUAAGACCUCCCAAUCUAUGGGGGACAGCAUUUCAAAAGGAAUGAUCAUACCCCAUACCUCCUACCGACCAAAGCGUGGGAUCUUCGGACCUUGCGCUCUUGCAUGAAUCUAAGACCGAAUAUCUAAUUAGUGGGGUAAAGGCCUACCAAGGCAACAAUGUGACGAGGCUCUGAUAGGAUGAUCCGCCGAUCUGGCACUGAGACACUGACCCAACUCCUACAGUCCGCCGCAAUGGGGAAUAUUGGACAAUGGGCCCAAGCCUGAUCCCCCCAUGCCGCCUGUGUGAAGAAGGCCUUAUGGUUGUCAAGCACUUUAACCCUUUAGGAGGCUACUGAAAUUAAUACCUUCAUAUACUGGAGUUUACUCGCAAAAUAAACACCGGCUAACUCUGUGCCUCCAGCCGCCGUACUACAGAAGGCGCAAGCGGUAAUCGUAUUUCCUGGGCGUAGAGCGCGCGUAGGGCGCUAAUUAAUUCAAAUGUGAAAUCCCCAAGCUUAGCUUGCGAAUUGCAUUCGAUACUGGUUASCUAGAGUGUGGGAGAGGAUGGUAGAAUUCCARGUGUASCGGKGAAAUGCGUAGAGAUCGGGAGGAAUACAGAUGGCGAAGGCAGCCAUCUGGCCUAACACUGACGGUGAGGUGAGAAAGCAUGGGGAGCACACAGGAUUAGAUCCCGGGGUAGUCCAUCCUGUAAGAGAUGUAUAGUAGCCGUUGGGGCCUUUGAGGCUUUAGUGGGGCAGCUAACGCGAUAAGUAGCCCCCCUGGGGAGUACGGUGCCAAGAUUAAAAUUCAAAUGAAUUGACGGGGGCCCGCCCAAGCGGUGGAGCAUGUGGUUUAAUUGGAUGCAACGGGAAGACCCUUACCUGGCCUUGACAUAGUAAGAACUUUCCAGAGAUGGAUUGGUGCCUUGGGGAACUUACAUACAGGUGCUGCAUGGCGGUGUUCAGCUGGUGUCGUGAGAUGUUGGGUUAAGUCCCGCAACGAGCGCAACCUUUUUCUUUAUUUGCCACCGAGUAAGGUCGGGAACUUUAAGGAUACUGCCAGGGCCAACCGGGGGGAAGGGGGGGAGGAGGUCAAGUCAUCAUGGCCUUUACGCCCAGGGUUCCCCACGUGUUCCAAUGGUGGGUACAAAGGGGCAAACCUAGCGAUAGGAUGCUAAUCUCAAAAACCCGUUUCUAUUCGGGAUGGGAUUUGCCAAUUGGAUUCCAGGAAUUGGGAAU